ACGGAAGGCAGCAGUGAGGAAUAUUGGUCAAUGGGCGAGAGCCUGAACCAGCCAAGUCGCGUGAAGGAAGACGGUUCUAUGGAUUGUAAACUUCUUUUGUCUGAGGGUAAAGUGAGAGUCGUGACUCUUAUUGCAAGUAUCAGAUGAAUAAGCAUCGGCUAACUCCGUGCCAGCAGCCGCGGUAAUACGGAGGAUGCGAGCGUUAUCCGGAUUUAUUGGGUUUAAAGGGUGCGUAGGCGGAUGAUUAAGUCAGCGGUGAAAGCGUGUUGCUCAACAAUACCGAGCCGUUGAUACUGGUUAUCUUGAGUGUAAACGAGGUAGGCGGAAUAUGACAUGUAGCGGUGAAAUGCUUAGAUAUGUCAUAGAACCCCGAUUGCGAAGGCAGCUUACCAGCAUACGACUGACGCUGAGGCACGAAAGCGUGGGUAUCAAACAGGAUUAGAUACCCUGGUA
rnacentral:rRNA from 2 species